GCGGGUAUAGCUUAAUGGUAAAGCUCCGGCCUUCCAAGCCGAUGAUGCGGGUUCGAUCCCCGCUACCCGCU
rnacentral:tRNA from 1 species